rnacentral:rRNA from 1 species
UACGGAGGGUGCAAGCGUUAAUCGGAAUUACUGGGCGUAAAGCGCACGUAGGUGGUUUGCUAAGCCAGCUGUGAAAUCCCCGGGCUCAACCUGGGCACUGCAGUUGGAACCGGCAAGCUAGAGUAGGGUAGAGGGGUGUGGAAUUCCAGGUGUAGCGGUGAAAUGCGUAGAUAUCUGGAGGAACAUCAGUGGCGAAGGCGACACCCUGGACUCAUACUGACACUGAGGUGCGAAAGCGUGGGGAGCAAACAGG